CCUACGGGGGGCUGCAGUCGAGAAUCUUCCGCAAUGGGCGAAAGCCUGACGGAGCGACGCCGCGUGGUGGAUGAAGUCCUUCGGGACGUAAACACCUUUUAUGAGGGAAGAAGUUUAUUGACGGUACCUCAGGAAUAAGGGGUUGCUAAACUCGUGCCAGCAGCAGCGGUAAUACGAGUGCCCCAAGCGUUAUCCGGAAUCAUUGGGCGUAAAGGGUGCGUAGGCGGUUGUGUUAGUCUCCUGUGAAAGCUCCCGGCUUAACCGGGAAUGGGCGGGAGAAACGGCACAACUUAGAGCAGGUGAGAGGUCAGUAGAACUCAUGGUGUAGGGGUGAAAUCCGUUGAUAUCAUGGGGAAUACCAAAAGCGAAGGCAGCUGACUGGCGCCGAGCUGACGCUGAGGCACGAAAGCGUGGGUAGCGAACGGGAUUAGAUACCCCUGUAGUC
rnacentral:rRNA from 1 species